rnacentral:rRNA from 1 species
GAGUUUGAUCCUGGCUCAGGAUGAACGCUGGCGGAGUGCCUAACACAUGCAAGUCGAGCGGCAGCACGAGUAGUUUACUACUUGGUGGCGAGCGGCGGACGGCUGAGUAACGCGUGGGAACGUGCCCCAAAGUGAGGAAUAACUGCCCGAAAGGGUAGCUAAUGCCGCAUAUGAUCUUCGGAUUAAAGUAUUUAUUACGCUUUGGGAGCGGCCCGCGUCCGAUUAGGUAGUUGGUGAGGUAAAGGCUCACCAAGCCCACGAUCGGUAGCUGGUCUGAGAGGAUGACCAGCCAGACUGGAACUGAGACACGGUCCAGACUCCUACGGGAGGCAGCAGUGAGGAAUCUUCCACAAUGGACGAAAGUCUGAUGGAGCAACUCCGCGUGCAGGAUGAAGGCCCUCGGGUCGUAAACUGCUUUUAUGAGUGAAGAAUAUGACGGUAACUCAUGAAUAAGGGUCGGCUAACUACGUGCCAGCAGCCGCGGUCAUACGUAGGACCCAAGCGUUAUCCGGAGUGACUGGGCGUAAAGAGUUGCGUAGGUGG